UACGUAGGGUGCAAGCGUUGUCCGGAAUUAUUGGGCGUAAAGAGCUCGUAGGCGGUUUGUUGCGUCGGCUGUGAAAUCCCGAGGCUCAACCUCGGGUCUGCAGUCGAUACGAGCAAACUAGAGUGUUGCAGGGGAGACUGGGAAUUCCUGGUGAUAGCGGUGAAAUGACGCAGAUAUCAGGAGGAACACCGGUGGCGAAGGCGGGUCUCUGGGCAACAACUGACGCUGGAGGAGCGAAAGCGUGGGGAGCGAACAGG
rnacentral:rRNA from 1 species